rnacentral:piRNA from 2 species
UACAAGAGGUGCUGAAGACCGCC